rnacentral:misc_RNA from 1 species
UUUCCGUAGGUGAACCUGCGGAAGGAUCAUUAUAAAUGAAAAACGAAUAACUUCAGGGAAGAAGGGAACCUGCACGGUGACCUCCCCUGUCGGGCCACCCAAUACCUUCAAAAUGCCGCCGUCCUAGCGGUGGCAGACGAAAAAAAAAACAAAAAAAACAAAAUAAAAACAGGAACGGUGGCCCGUUCACCUUCACACAACCCUCCGAGUACCGCUUCCAUGUUGCUUCCCCGCAAAUCCACCUCUUUGGUGAGCGCGGGGGAGGUCCGCAUCAAAUUCACCUGAAUGUCACAGCAGUCAGACAGCCAUUCAUGGAAACAAUAAAACUUUCAACAACGGAUCUCUUGGUUCCC